rnacentral:rRNA from 1 species
UACGAAGGGGGGCUAGCGUUGUUCGGAAUUACUGGGCGUAAAGCGCAUGUAGGCGGCCAUUCAAGUCGGGGGGUGAAAUCCUGGAGCUCAACUCCAGAACUGCCUUCGAUACUGUCUGGCUCGAGUGUGGAAGAGGUUGGUGGAACUGCAAGUGUAGAGGUGAAAUUCGUAGAUAUUUGCAAGAACACCAGUGGCGAAGGCGGCCAACUGGUCCAUUACUGACGCUGAGAUGCGAAAGCGUGGGGAGCAAACAGG